rnacentral:lncRNA from 1 species
AUAUUUUUGGUACGGUAAAAUCAUAAUAAAAGAUAUUACAUGAUGUUGUAUAGUAAAAAAUAAUAUAAUAUAAUAUAUUAUAUUAUUAUAUAUUAAAAUAUUAUUAUAUUAUAUUAUAUUUUUAUAAUAUAAUUUAUAUUUAAUAUAAUAUAUUACUUAUAAUCUAAUUUAAUAAUAAAUUAUUAUAUUAUGUUAUAAUAUUAUAAUAUUAUAAUAGAUUAUAUUAUAUAUUUAUAAUAUGAAUAUUAUUUUAUUGUAUGAUAUUAUUAUCAUAAUUCUGAUGUAAUAUAUAAUAUAAUAUACUACAAAAGUUUAUAAUCUAAUCUAAUAAUAAAUUAUAACAUAAUAUAUUAUAUUAUAUUAUUAUUAAAUAUUUUUAUAUCAAAUUAUAUUUUUAUAAUAUAAUAAUACCAUAAUAUGUUAUGUUAUAUAUUUAUAAUAUAUCAUAAUAUCAAUUUAUUAUUAUAUUAUAUUAUAUUUAUAAUAUAAUAAUAAUAUACGAUAUGAUAUAAGAUAUAAUUAUAAAAUCACAAAAAAAAAUUUAUUUAAUUCAAAAUAAUUUUUUAAUAUUAAUUAAAAAUAUUUAAAAAUUAAAAUAAAUUUUUUUCAAAUAGAUUUUUUCUCCACAAUUUCUUAUCCAAAAAGCACUUUAUGAUGUUCAAAAAGUGCUUUAUGAUGCUCUAAAAGACCUAAAUUUCGAUUUGCUCACAUUGGCAGCUGUAAAAUUUUGAUAGGAUUAGGUUAGCUAAGCUCUUGACAUGAACGUGAUCUACGUUUUAUAAGUCCAAUUGCCAUUUGGAUCUAGCUUUCAUAAAGUUAGCGGGGCACAAAAUUGCACACGUAAAAAAAUUUAGGAACACACAAACCCAAAUUGGGACAGUUUUAUUGGUAUAUACGCUUGGCUAAUGGUCUCCAAACUAGACAAAAAAUGUGAUUGGAAUUGGGUGAAUUAAAUAUUGAUUUGUAGUGACAAUUGAGACAUUUGUUAAAGUUAGGGUCUAUUUGGAUAAUUCAGUAGAAUUGGACUAGAGCUGGAAUGUAAUGGGUGAAGAAUUCUUGUACUUCUUGUAGACCAACAGAUUGGGACUUAAGUAAUCUGAAAUUUGGAUAAGUUCUUGGAAGAUUGUGGACUGCGCAGGCCAACAGGCCUAAUUCUUAUAUAAUUUUUUAUUUAUUUGUUCUUUUAAUUGUGAUUAUAUUUUAUUUUGGCCUAAAACUGAGAUUUUAAUUUUGUUUUCUUAUUUGUAUUCGAUCGAAAUCAUAUGGGUAAUCCAGAAGAAGAAGAAGAAGAAAGAAUAUUUUUAAAAAAUAUUUUUUAGAAGAAAUAUUUUUAACUUUGAAGACUCAUAUUUUUAUAUGGCAGAGAAAAGCUCACUUUAAUUUUGACUUCAACAAAAAUGGUACAAUAUGUUAAUCCUAAAAUAUUAUUAAAUAUAUAUAAAUUAGCUAAAAC